rnacentral:rRNA from 1 species
AUUGAACGCUGGCGGCAUGCCUUACACAUGCAAGUCGAACGGUAACAGGUCUUCGGAUGCUGACGAGUGGCGAACGGGUGAGUAAUACAUCGGAACGUGCCUAGUAGUGGGGGAUAACUACUCGAAAGAGUGGCUAAUACCGCAUGAGAUCUACGGAUGAAAGCAGGGGAUCGCAAGACCUUGUGCUACUAGAGCGGCCGAUGGCAGAUUAGGUAGUUGGUGGGAUAAAAGCUUACCAAGCCGACGAUCUGUAGCUGGGCUGAGAGGACGAUCAGCCACACUGGGACUGAGACACGGCCCAGACUCCUACGGGAGGCAGCAGUGGGGAAUUUUGGACAAUGGGCGCAAGCCUGAUCCAGCAAUGCCGCGUGCAGGAUGAAGGCCUUCGGGUUGUAAACUGCUUUUGUACGGAACGAAAAGUCCUGGGUUAAUACCCUGGGGUCACGACGGUACCGUAAGAAUAAGCACCGGCUAACUACGUGCCAGCCGCCGCCGUAA